UCCUGCCUGCGCUUAAGUGCGCGGUUGGUGGGUGUUCUGCAGUGGGGGGAGGGAGCCGACAAAGACCUGGGAGUGUGCGUGGAUCUCUCUAUUCCAAAGGAGGUGUUUUAUCACACGACUCGACACUUUCUAAUUACUACACACAGUGGAGUUUACUUUACUACUAUUCUUUUGUUCGUUGGGGGAACGCUCUCUUUCGGGGGGGAGUUCUCCCAGUGGAUGCAAACACAAACAAAUAUUUUUUUAAAAUAAUUCAGUCAACACAAGAUUUCUUUUAGUAGAAAACAACUUCAAAACUUUCAACAAUGGAUCUCUUGGUUCUCGCAUCGAUGAAGAACGCAGCGAAAUGCGAUACGUAAUGUGAAUUGCAGAAUUCCGUGAAUCAUCGAAUCUUUGAACGCACAUUGCGCCCUCUGGUAUUCCGGGGGGCAUGCCUGUUUGAGCGUCAUUUCCUUCUCAAACACRUUGUGUUUGGUAGUGAGUGAUACUCUCGUUUUUGAGUUAACUUGAAAUUGUAGGCCAUAUCAGUAUGUGGGACACGAGCGCAAGCUUCUCUAUUAAUCUGCUGCUCGUUUGCGCGAGCGGCGGGGGUUAAUACUGUAUUAGGUUUUACCAACUCGGUGUUGAUCUAGGGAGGGAUAAGUGAGUGUUUUGUGCGUGCUGGGCAGACAGACGUCUU
rnacentral:rRNA from 1 species